rnacentral:rRNA from 1 species
GAUGAACGCUGGCGGCGUGCCUAAUACAUGCAAGUCGAGCGAACGGACGAGAAGCUUGCUUCUCUGAUGUUAGCGGCGGACGGGUGAGUAACACGUGGAUAACCUACCUAUAAGACUGGGAUAACUUCGGGAAACCGGAGCUAAUACCGGAUAAUAUUUUGAACCGCAUGGUUCAAAAGUGAAAGACGGUCUUGCUGUCACUUAUAGAUGGAUCCGCGCUGCAUUAGCUAGUUGGUAAGGUAACGGCUUACCAAGGCAACGAUGCAUAGCCGACCUGAGAGGGUGAUCGGCCACACUGGAACUUAGACAAGGUCCAGACUCCCACGGGAGGCAGCCGUAGGGAAUCCUCCGCAAUGGGCGAAAGCCUGACGGAGCAACGCCGCGUGAGUGAUGAAGGUCUUCCGAUCGUAAAACUCUGUUAAUAGGGAAGAACAUAUGUGUAAGUAACUGUGCACAUCUUGACGGUACCUAAUCAGAAAGCCAAGGCUAACUACGUG